AUAUAUUUCCUUUUUUUGAAUCUCUUUGGAAUUUGUGAUUUGCUUUAGACAGUCGACCAAUUUAAAAAAAGAAAACCAUAGACUUUAUCUUUGGAGAAAUUCUAGGAGGGUCUCCUUUAUGAACCAAAAAUACUCUCUUCCCCUGAACUUUCCAUCUCCCCUCUUCUCAGGGUAUUGCCCUGACCCUGGUGCCUGAGUGCAAACUUUUCUGAUUAAAAGCAAAAUGCCAGUGGCUGCUUUGGUUACUUUAAAUCCUCUGUCGCCUAUUUUUAUCUUGCUUGUAUGAUCAUGAGAUAACAAAGCCAUGAUCCAUAGCACCUGAGAAGACAAUAUUUGGGGACGAGGAGCUAGUGCAUGCUGGAAAGAAGGGCAGACGAGGAAGAAAAGAAGCCACAGUGAGGAGGAGAACUUUUUAGCUGAUGAAUAAGCCUGAUGGGAGGAGAAACCAGGAACUUGCUUUGCAAAAUCUUACUACAGCAGCACAAAAACUUCUAGAAUCUGGAACGGGAGAAAAUCCGUCCACUAGAACUUCAACGAAGAGGAGACCCAUGCAUACCCCCAGAGAGAGUCUGUGUUUUCUUUUUUCUUUUUCUGUGAUAUACCCAAGACCCACCUUGGACUCAAGGGACACAAAUUUGGUCUUCUUCAGGACAGGUUUACAGACAUGUUUCUGAGGGCAUUUUGCUCAUCCCUUGGAAGUGGACAUUCCCUCCUAUUCCAUGUUUCCAGUUGUCUGAAGGAGGGAUGAGUGUCAGCACCCCACAUCUGUGGCGAAGGAAGAUGAGAAGAAGCUCUUGCUCUCCAAAUAGCAUCCCUGUUUCUAGGUGGGAUGCAUAUUAUAUACUUUCCUCCCAAGGUCUGUACAGAAGCUGGAGAUGUCCUGGGCCACCUGGAUGCAUGGAGACAUUGGAGAAAACAGAACCAUGAGGUCAGUGGAGUUUGUGACCAGAGAAGAAAGGGAGAUGAGAGAAUUUUGUUUGUGAAAGAACAGACUUGAUUUUGCCAGAGGACUGCAUGACUUCUCCUCUGAUAGCAGCACAUGAACCUUUGGUUUUAAGAGCUAGCAGGGUUUGGGUGCCUUCCGUGGGGAAGUUAGCCAGGACUACCAGCCCUAAAUCUAAGACAAAGGACAUGUUGCAAUCAGAUAUCAAUUCUGAAGGAAUAUAACAUUUUUUGUUCUUAUAAUAAGAAUUCAGAUAUUCAUUGAUAGUUGCGAUGAGUGGGAUGGGACAAAAGACACCUGAUGUUUUCCUUCAUCUCUUCUCUAGGAUAGGAACUUUCUUAAAUGCAGAGAGCCAAAUAAGCUGUUGUUUGGAUUGUUUUCUUUUGCUUUUAAAAGUUAUUUUACUUUUGCACCCAUUUUCUAUCUUCUCUAAUGUUUUUCAAGACUGAUAUGUCCUUUAACAUGUGUUUAUUUUGAAAAGGUGGUUGUUUAUAAUUCUGGAAAUAAAUUUGAACUUUGGAAUUAAAAUAUCUGGUGUGUUAUCCUGACAUAUCCCUGAUGACCUCCACUUGAGGCUCUGCAGAGCUCAUCACAGCACAGUGUGGAGCAGGAGAAACCCCUGCAUUCAGCAAAGGAGGGAGUUUUCCACAGGGGGCCCCUGUCCAUGAUGUUUCCCCCUCUGGAGGUACAGAGAAUUAGAGAAUUAGGAUCCUCAAGAGAGUUUGAGUGUGAAAUGGUGAUUGCAUGUAUGCAACUUCAAACUCUGUAAGAAUCCAGCUCCCAUUCAAAAUGUGGGAUGUUUCCCAGGUAAAUUUGUUGCUUGUUUUGGGUUUUAAGUUAUCCCCUAUUCCUGGUAUCUCUGCCUGAAGUGUUCUUAGGGCUCAGGUUACCCAGUAGGGCUUGGAUGGUAGUAUUUCCCCCUUUCAGGGAUUGGCCCAGAGAUUUUUUCCUCCAAGUUCAUGGGUAGGGAAAAUGCAAUGAAACUGUGCUGAUGCUGCCUGUCCCCUUAAUCUACAAAAGUAAUUAAUCUAUUUUUUAUGUGGUCAUUUUGACAAAUUUGUCAUAACCUAUGGGGCAUUUUAAUUUAACCUAAAGCCAAACCAUUAAGUUUUUAGACAUUUUUCACCCCACCACUCUAACCUAUCCAAACCCUAGGACUUUGUCCUUUACUUCAUACUAUUCUAUCACUUCCAUGGGUUAUUAUGAAGAAACGUCUGUAUAUAGUACUGGUUAAUUGAAAAAAAGGACUGUUUUGGGGCACCUGCGUGGCUCAGUUGGUUAAGCAUCCAACUCUUGAUUUCGGCUCAGGUCAUGAUCUCAGGAUUGUGAGAUCAAGCACUGCAUUGGGCUCCGUGCUGAGCUUGGAGCCUGUUUGAGAUUCUCUCUCUCCUUCUCUCUCUGCCCACUGUCUCACUCUCUCAAACAAAACAAAACAAAACAAAACAAAACAAAACAAAGAAACAAAACAAAACAAAACAAAAACCCCAAAACUGUUUUAUCAUUUUGGCUUGGUUAGUUGGGUAGUGCCCAGAUGUCUGCAUUAAAUGUCUUGUUUCCAUCCUUGCUACAAACUUAAGUCCCCAGGGUUUGUGCAGGGAUGCCACCCUGCCUUCCCUAAGGACUGUCACCAGAGUUGGAGUCUGUCUGAGAUGGUUGGCAACAACUGGAUCAACUGAGCUGUUCCCAGAGCUCUGAGAGCAGAGAAAUGUCAGGAGCAAGAAGUAGAUGAUAGAAAUCUGGAUUUUGGAGAGACCCAAGUAUGGCAUUCAUCAGUGAUGAUGUGGGAGAGUGGAGUGAUGAGUAGCGAGAAUUUCAGCCUGAGUAAAAGGUCAGCAGCACACCAGGUUUCUGAAGGUGAAAUCAUGUGGAACAUUGGGCUGGACUCCAUUUUGGACAACCAAAAUGUUGAAUUCUGGCAUAGAUGAAGUACAUGGAAAUCAAGAAAAUGGAUGCCAGGGGGCCAAGGACCAAUUUCAUUGGCAUUAGAUUCUAACCAACUCUAUUACCACUUCAGAAAUAAGAUUCAUCAACGCACUGAGUGUGGCCCAAGAUUUUUGCCUACCUCCUACCCACUCAGCAAGGAGCCACAGUGAGUUUGUGGUAAUACUAGCUAUCCACGUGUCUUCCAUGAGCAUUUGCAAAAUGAUGAUAAAUUACCCAAAUUGUGGCAAAGUCUCUGUACCUAUUGCAAGACCUAGGGGUAGGAAUGUGUGUUAGCUAAAGCAAUCCAUAACAAUUUUGAAGUUACUGGCACAUGUUAAGAAACAGAGUAUCUUGAUCCUUCUGAGAAAAUUUUGCAAAUGUUCUGCUAUAAUUGUAUGUAAAUCUGAGACUUGGCAUCAGCAUAUUUCCUCUUAGCAAAUGUGUCUGAAUAAAUUGAUCCACCUUGUCUAAGACAGAAAGGGUAUCUCCAACCAUUAGUAUUCUGCCUCUGGGUUGGUUUUUUUCCAGCCUGGUGUAAUUUCAGGCAGCAGGCCAUUGUUCCAAAUGCAUUUCUGAUUGAUUUUCUGCCUAACAACUGACAACUUAACUUUUCAGCAGGAGGUCUGAGCUCAGGCCUCCUUUUUAAUGCUUCAGAGUGUAAUAUGAUCCUGAUGGAUGGUUCUGAAGAACAACUGGCUUUUGUGAUGGAAAAGAAAGUGUAGGACUUGGUUCCCAAACACACGGAUUUCUUCCAUAUGGAUUACAUUACUAUAAAUUAGAGAAGGGUAGGGGUGAGGAAGAGGUGGUUGCUUUUGUGGGAAAGGCCAGGAUUUAAUACUAUUAUCCUCUUGCUUAUAAUUUAAAGAGUUCUGCUCUCACUUGAAUCCACUGAUUUAAGAAAGUGUUUGGUGAAAGUGGGCGCAAUCUACUUGAUUCCUUAGGUAACUUUACAAAAGGCAUUUAAAAAUCCCAUUUUAAAACUUGAUUCUAACCAGAAAUCAAGAGUCACAAUCUGCUUAGUGGUCAGUUUUGCUGCUUAAUGAUACAAUUUGUAUUUUGUUUUAAAUAGAUUUGAUCCUAGAGAUUUGAUUCUAAUUGAGCAGGCUACUGUGGGUUCCUGAGGAUUUCUCUAACAAGAACAGUUGUGUUUGGUAUGUGCAUCUGAGUCGUUCGUGAAGGAUGGAAACUUCUUGGACAAACCUCCAAGUCAAUCAAAAGGAUUACCAGGAUUUUAAUCCCAAAUAUCAAAUCCCCAGCUGUUGGUAAAAAUGUAUGAUCUAUGGUUCUAAAUGACCACAGUUGAGUGACACUUUGAUUUUCACACAGGCUCCUUUUAAGUGGCAGAUGGUAUUCCAGUUAGUUUGACUGUAAGUUCACUGAAGUCUGGGUUCUUCUUGGGUGGCAAACCUAGGAGAAUCUAUAUAAUGGCAAACUCACAUUAAUUGGUACCAGUGGAUUUGCAGAGCAAAGUCUAAUUUCCUUGGCCUUGUUCAUUCUGCUUCUCAGCUUUUCCCUAUUUUCUUUCCAUUUCUGAAUCCUUCCAAGUCUACCUCAUAAUCUACUCUGGGGUCCUCAAGGUGACUUUGACCCCAAUCAUCUCUUCUAUUUCUUACCUCCUAAUGCAUUUGUGGUGUGUACCAUCCAACUCAGUUUAUAAUAAUAUUAUGUUUCAUAUAUUUCUCUUAUUAAUAUAUGUACAUUGGCUCUUCCUCUUUUAACUCCAGUUCCUUGAGGGUAGGGACAUUAUUUCACACCAUCCUAAUAACUUCUUCCUUUCCUUGAUAGUGUCCAACUCAGUGCCAAACAUCCAGCAAUUAACUAAAUAUUUCCAUACGGUUUAAAACAUAACUCUAGAAGCCUUUUGAAAAAUGUCAGUAACUUGCGAGUUUACAUUUUAGGCCAUAAUCAGUUGACCCCUUAAUUGGAAAUGAGCACUUUCUCUGGGUAACUUGUAUAUUCAUGUGGGAGGGCAGCAUAUAUAGGGCUAUGGGGAAGGAUGGAGAAUGGUUUUCACUUACUUCAUACUGUCGCCUCUAUUUACCCCAGUCUUUGAGAGCAGAUAUAGUGGAUCAAUCCAAGGAAGCAGACAUCUCACUAGGUAUUUCAACAUAGAGAAUUUAGCCUAAGAAACUGGUUAAGACAGAAAACUGAAAAAAUGGAAAGGGGACACUAGAUUAUCACAGAGAUAAGUAACUGCAGGAAACAAUCCCACCCAAGUGAUGUGGUUUGAAGUCAAUGGUCAGCAAAGAGUUCUUGAGAUGGUUUUGGUACAAAAAGGUGUUUUUAUUAAAGCACGGGGACAGGACCCAUGGGCAGGAAGCUGCAUUGGGGUCAUGAGGAGCAAUUGAUUAUACACUUUGGAGUUGGAGAAAGUAAAGACAAAGGAAGUUUCCAAAAGGAUUUUCAGAAGCUAAAGAAGACUUAUAGGAUCCUGGAGGCCUAGCUAUUAUCAAGCUAAGGUUGUUUUUCCGUCUAGCAAAGCAUUGAUAUUAAGACAGUUGGGAGUUCUCAAAGAAUGUUAUACUCUGCCUGCCUCAAGUAUUUGUUAAUUCCAGCAGGUGGUAAGGAAAUUUAAUUUUAUCUGCAUUUCUUUUGCCUUUGUUCUCCACAUCAUUAGCCCUGGGUGAACCAACUGGAAGAGGUUUGGGUGAUGAGAACCUAGAAGCCAGGAGGAGAGGUCCCACAGAACUGUACUCAGAUCUCUGAGGAGGGCAAGUUCUGUUCAGACAGUCAAGUGGAUCUUCCAGAUGGUUGCCUGGUCUAAGGUGGAGAUUUUGAAAAUGCACAAUUCUUCUUUAUUCCUCUUCCUGUGAUCAUUCCCAUUUGGUUUGCUGGCUAGACCAGAAAACUACUUUCUGUACUGCGAAGACAUCUCACGAUACAAACUAUUUUCAGAAAGUGCGGAUGUCAGAUGUCUGACCAAACUCCAGGGAAGGAAGAAGAGGCUGUCCUUUUGUGUCACAGCAUUUUUGCUGAACACAAGUGCCACGUGGAUGACAGGUUGGAGGUGAGGAUGCGUUGAGAGGUGGAUGAGGGCUGAGGGCAGUGAAGGGGACACAAAAACCUUUAUAGGUUGGGAGUCACCCUCAGUGUCUCCUUCCCGCCACUCACUCUCCACAUCCAACGCGCCACUUAGCCUGGCCAACUAAAACUCAAACCCACCAGCCUUCUCCACCCCACCAGCCACCGUUGGCUUCCUGGAGCCUUGCACUAGCCAUCCAGGGGUCUUCCCUCUUAUUCUGGCCCACCUUGAAUCCAUCCCCUAUGCUGCAGCCAA